CUGUUCGGGCCUCUGUUUCAUCGCUCGACUAGGGGAAACCCUUUCCCCCACCCCGCGAUAGGAGCCAGACGAGGCAGCACGCGAGAAACCUCGACGGCGACGCGCAGAUUGAUUUCAUCACCACAGGGACGGGUUGAGGUGAAAAAAUUCAUGCUUUACUCUGUCAGUUGAGAUGUUGAAUAUGUGAUGCUCUAUCCUGCUCAUGUGAUGAUUGAACAAUUGAUGUUUCUCUCUCUCAAUUGAUAUGUUGUGUCCUGCUCAUGUGUAGAUUUAAUAGUGCAUGCUUUCUUUGUCAAAUGAGAUGGUGAAAUAAUGAUGUUGUGUGCUGCUAAUGCCAAGUUCAUAAUUAGUGUUUGUGUAUGUGUGCAUUGUAGCUCCAUAAUGUCUCAAAUGGACUUAAUUGCUUCCAUUACCGAAGAGAACAAAAGAAGAAACAUGAAAAGGACUGUAUUGACAACAAUGUAUAUUGAGUCAGUUUGUCUUGCACUAGCUUAUCUUAGUAUGC